rnacentral:tRNA from 1 species
UGGGGUGUAGCUCAGUUGGUAGAGCGCUCGCCUGGCGUGCACAAGGCCCUGGGUUCAAUCCCCACACCACAA